CCUACGGGAGGCAGCAGUCGAGAAUCAUUCACAAUGGGGGAAACCCUGAUGGUGCGACGCCGCGUGGGGGAAUGAAGGUCUUCGGAUUGUAAACCCCUGUCAUGUGGGAGCAAAUUAAAAAGAUAGUACCACAAGAGGAAGAGACGGCUAACUCUGUGCCAGCAGCCGCGGUAAUACAGAGGUCUCAAGCGUUGUUCGGAAUCACUGGGCGUAAAGCGUGCGGGGGCUGUGUCGUAAGUCGUGUGUGAAAGGCGCGGGCUCAACCCGCGGACGGCACAUGAUACUGCGGGACUAGAGGAAUGGAGGGGGAACCGGAAUUCUCGGUGUAGCAGUGAAAUGCGUAGAUAUCGAGAGGAACACUCGUGGCGAAGGCGGGUUCCUGGACAUUAACUGACGCUGAGGCACGAAGGCCAGGGGAGCGAAAGGGAUUAGAUACCCGAGUAGUC
rnacentral:rRNA from 1 species